rnacentral:rRNA from 1 species
UACGUAGGGCGCAAGCGUUGUCCGGAAUUAUUGGGCGUAAAGAGCUUGUAGGCGGUUUGUCGCGUCUGCUGUGAAAAUCCGGGGCUCAACCCCGGACUUGCAGUGGGUACGGGCAGACUAGAGUGUGGUAGGGGAGACUGGAAUUCCUGGUGUAGCGGUGAAAUGCGCAGAUAUCAGGAGGAACACCGAUGGCGAAGGCAGGUCUCUGGCCACUACUGACGCUGAGAAGCGAAAGCAUGGGGAGCGAACAGG